CUGAAUAUGGGGGGACCAUCCUCCAAGGCUAAAUACUCCUGACUGACCGAUAGUGAACCAGUACCGUGAGGGAAAGGCGAAAAGAACCCCGGCGAGGGGAGUGAAAAAGAACCUGAAACCGUGUACGUACAAGCAGUGGGAGCACGCUUAGGCGUGUGACUGCGUACCUUUUGUAUAAUGGGUCAGCGACUUAUAUUCUGUAGCAAGGUUAACCGAAUAGGGGAGCCGAAGGGAAACCGAGUCUUAACUGGGCGUUAAGUUGCAGGGUAUAGACCCGAAACCCGGUGAUCUAGCCAUGGGCAGGUUGAAGGUUGGGUAACACUAACUGGAGGACCGAACCGACUAAUGUUGAAAAAUUAGCGGAUGACUUGUGGCUGGGGGUGAAAGGCCAAUCAAACCGGGAGAUAGCUGGUUCUCCCCGAAAGCUAUUUAGGUAGCGCCUCGUGAAUUCAUCUCCGGGGGUAGAGCACUGUUUCGGCAAGGGGGUCAUCCCGACUUACCAACCCGAUGCAAACUGCGAAUACCGGAGAAUGUUAUCACGGGAGACACACGGCGGGUGCUAACGUCCGUCGUGAAGAGGGAAACAACCCAGACCGCCAGCUAAGGUCCCAAAGUCAUGGUUAAGUGGGAAACGAUGUGGGAAGGCCCAGACAGCCAGGAUGUUGGCUUAGAAGCAGCCAUCAUUUAAAGAAAGCGUAAUAGCUCACUGGUCGAGUCGGCCUGCGCGGAAGAUGUAACGGGGCUAAACCAUGCACCGAAGCUGCGGCAGCGACGCUUAUGCGUUGUUGGGUAGGGGAGCGUUCUGUAAGCCUGCGAAGGUGUGCUGUGAGGCAUGCUGGAGGUAUCAGAAGUGCGAAUGCUGACAUAAGUAACGAUAAAGCGGGUGAAAAGCCCGCUCGCCGGAAGACCAAGGGUUCCUGUCCAACGUUAAUCGGGGCAGGGUGAGUCGACCCCUAAGGCGAGGCCGAAAGGCGUAGUCGAUGGGAAACAGGUUAAUAUUCCUGUACUUGGUGUUACUGCGAAGGGGGGACGGAGAAGGCUAUGUUGGCCGGGCGACGGUUGUCCCGGUUUAAGCGUGUAGGCUGGUUUUCCAGGCAAAUCCGGAAAAUCAAGGCUGAGGCGUGAUGACGAGGCACUACGGUGCUGAAGCAACAAAUGCCCUGCUUCCAGGAAAAGCCUCUAAGCAUCAGGUAACAUCAAAUCGUACCCCAAACCGACACAGGUGGUCAGGUAGAGAAUACCAAGGCGCUUGAGAGAACUCGGGUGAAGGAACUAGGCAAAAUGGUGCCGUAACUUCGGGAGAAGGCACGCUGAUAUGUAGGUGAAGUCCCUCGCGGAUGGAGCUGAAAUCAGUCGAAGAUACCAGCUGGCUGCAACUGUUUAUUAAAAACACAGCACUGUGCAAACACGAAAGUGGACGUAUACGGUGUGACGCCUGCCCGGUGC
rnacentral:rRNA from 1 species